rnacentral:sRNA from 1 species
GCCGGGUAUGGUGGCGCGUGCCUGUAAUCCCAGCUACUUGGGAGGCUGAGGCAGGAGACUCUCUUGAACCCGGGAGGUGGAGGUUGCAGUGAGCUGAGAUGGCGCCACUGCACUGCAGCCUGGGCAACAGAGCAAGACUCUGCCUCAA